UAAUGCAUAGGAAUCUACCUAGUAGUAUGGGAUAGCCACUAGAAAUGGUGGGUAAUACUGUAUAAUCCCUGCGGGGGAAAGAUUUAUCGCUAUUAGAUGAGCCUAUGUUAGAUUAGCUAGUUGGUAGGGUAAAGGCCUACCAAGGCAGUGAUCUAUAGCUGGUCUGAGAGGAUGAUCAGCCACACUGGAACUGAGAUACGGUCCAGACUCCUACGGGAGGCAGCAGUGGGGAAUAUUGGACAAUGGGCGCAAGCCUGAUCCAGCUAUGCCGCGUGAGUGAGGAAGGCCUUAGGGUUGUAAAACUCUUUCAGUGGGGAAGAUAAUGACGGUACCCACAGAAGAAGUCCCGGCAAACUCCGUGCCAGCAGCCGCGGUAAUACGGAGGGGGCAAGCGUUGUUCGGAAUUAUUGGGCGUAAAGGGCAUGUAGGCGGUUCGGUAAGUUAAAGGUGAAAUGCCAGGGCUUAACCCUGGAGCUGCUUUUAAUACUGCCAGACUCGAGUCCGGGAGAGGAUAGCGGAAUUCCUAGUGUAGAGGUGAAAUUCGUAGAUAUUAGGAGGAACACCAGUGGCGAAGGCGGCUAUCUGGUCCGGUACUGCCGCUGAACUGCUCAAUCGUGUGGAUCACACAGUAUUACCUACCCUG
rnacentral:rRNA from 1 species